GUGCUUUUGGUGCUUGCAAGUACUAGGAAGCAGCGAUUGACGGAGGUACCCAGUUGGGGUGCCAGGCGGUCCGUCACACAUAUUUCAAUAACGCACCACACACUUUGGAAAAUGGAGUGAGUCAUCAUUAAAACCUCUUUUUUUAUUUCAUAGGUGGCUGUUUUUCCCAGAAUGCAAAACAUUGGAAUCCUGCUUUUCAAAAUCACAUUUCAAUAC